rnacentral:rRNA from 1 species
AUUGAACGCUGGCGGCAUGCCUUACACAUGCAAGUCGAACGGCAGCACGGGUGCUUGCACCUGGUGGCGAGUGGCGAACGGGUGAGUAAUAUAUCGGAACGUACCUUAUUGUGGGGGAUAACGCAGCGAAAGCUGUGCUAAUACCGCAUAAUCCCUUAGGGGGAAAGCGGGGGACCGUAAGGCCUCGCGCAAUUAGAGCGGCCGAUAACUGAUUAGCUAGUUGGUGAGGUAAAGGCUCACCAAGGCGACGAUCAGUAGCUGGUCUGAGAGGACGAUCAGCCACACUGGGACUGAGACACGGCCCAGACUCCUACGGGAGGCAGCAGUGGGGAAUUUUGGACGAUGGGGGCAACCCUGAUCCAGCAAUGCCGCGUGAGUGAAGAAGGCCUUCGGGUUGUAAAGCUCUUUUGUCAGGGAAGAAACAGCAGCUCUAACACAGUAUGCGAAUGACGGUACCUGAAGAAUAAGCACCGGCUAACUACGUGCCAGCAGCCGCCGUAA